CACUGAGUUCCAUGCCAGUGCCAAAGGAGCCCACACGGGACAAAAAAAGAUCCGAGACGCCAUUUCCAGGUGAUGUUUCUGGCCUGGAAUGGUCGCGGACAUUGAUAAAUGGGUGGCCGAUUGUAUCGUUUGCCAGGCCAGCCAGCCCAUAAUAAAAAAGGAGGUGGAAUACACACCUAUAAAGGUCAAACACCCAUUUGAGUUUAUAGGCAUGGACCUGGUGGGAAAAUUAACCAAGACAAAAAAUGACAAUCAAUAUAUCUGUGUCAUGAUUGAUUAUUUUACUAAAUGGCCACAGGCUUAUCCACUAAAAUCCAAAAAUGCGGCAUAGGUGACCGAAUGCAUUAUACAAAUUUUUCAUCAGUUUGAGGCACCAAAAAGGAUAUUGACAGACCAAGGCACA